AAAAAGACAAACCUUGGUUUCCGUGUCCAACGUUUGACCGUCCGUCUUAUUAAAAAAAUUAUGAAAAAAAUUAAAAAGACAAGUCACGCAUAAAAUAUUAAUCAUGUUUUAUCAUCUAACAACAAUGAAAAUAUGAAUUAUAAAAAAAUUUCAUGUAAGACGGACAGUCAAAGUUAGACACGAAAACUCAGGUUUGUCUUUUUU
rnacentral:pre_miRNA from 1 species